CAUUUUGUUAAUUAAAUACAGUCCACAAUAAUCCACAACUCCACUGCCUUUAAUCACAGACAUACGACCUAACAAGAUGCAUCUAAAGGCAACAUUAAUAGUGGCGGAAAGUUGAUUAUGGCGACAUCAUGUGGUCAAACGACGGUAAUGGCCCCACAACCCCUUGGGGGUAAUAUCAUCAAAGGUGAGAAGCAGCAGCUGUCCAGUGCAACGCAGUGCCACCUCUAAAGACUCAGGAACACUUGCAGUAACACAGCAGGUGAAACAGAUUGGGAUUGAUUCCGGAAGGAGGAAGACCGCACCCAUCACCGCAAGGGUGCAAAAGGGUGCUUUGCCCCCUCAGUUGUAUUUUCUGCCCCCAUGUUAAAACGUACAAACACAACAACACAGUUACUUUUACAAGGUCCCAUUGGUGUCUUUAUUGCAGGGGGCUUUCAACUACUAACAGCGUAAUCCCAUCCGGGCAAUAUUUGACACAGAAAGCCAUCACUUCAGCCAUUCUCUUCCUUCAUUCGUAUGUCCAUGAUUUUAACCCCCUUA